AAAGGACACUACAUUAUGUACAACUUAAUGUGCUGGUUCUGUUUGGUUUUCUGAUAUUUUUUUAUGUACAUACUUAUGUAGGGCUUUUUGUUUGAGAUUUAGGCAAGUCAUUCCUUCAUCAUGUCUUUGUAUAUAGAGAUGCUUUGACAAAUAUAUCAGCACCAAAUCAUGACUCCUGUUCCUAGUAGUUCAUUUCCUUGUUGAAACAAGGGUUUCCUCAACUUCACUUUUACACUUAUUGGCUAUUUUCAGGUAAGUAAUACUUUAGCAUCCAAGCAUUAUUUUACUCAAUGGAAUUGAAUAUCAGUGCAAAAAGGACCUACCCAUUUCUAUGUAAGACAUAUUGGUGGAUACAUUAUUGCUUAAUAAUUAUAAUUUAACAAUUAAGUAAUUCAACCAGACUAAAAGGAAAAAGUGACUGCUACAUACCCUUCGUUCAGUAGGUACAAUUCCUUUAUAGAAAAUUGUUACCACUUCUCAAUUCUAUACCUCUAUUCAAAGAUCUAAAAUGCCACACUUUUCAAUAAUGGACCUUGCUUGAAAUGUAGAAACAGAAUGCUAUUAGUAAAGGUUCUUUGACUUUUAUGCUAUUUUCUAUAUCAAAAUUUAUAUUAAAGCCCUAAGCAAUGAUUCCGUUUCACUUUUUGUGUUCAAUUGAUAUUAGGUUUACUAGCUAGAUCUAUGAAUUUUCUUUGGAAGUUCAUUUCAAGAUUAACUUUAUCUCUGUCAACAAUUCCAAACAAAGGGGACCCAAAAGGUCUAUUUUAACUCUACAUUUUUCUAUUAAAGAUUCAUAUUUUUUCUUCUUCUUCACAAUAUAUAGAUUUCUGGGCCAAGAACCCUUUUGGACGUAUUGCAAAGAGAGGUGUUGCUAACCCAUCUUUUUAAAAACCUUUUUUUGAUGCUGAAUUUCAUGGUGGUGGAGCUCCACCAUGACUAGUGUCCACAGGAAUGUGAUAAUAAUACAGAGUACCUUAGCUGGAUCUCAUAAAUGUUUGUUAACUUGUCUGGCUUUGCUAUCUCAUCCAGUAGUACUACUACUACAUCUCCUAUCCUAAUAAUGGUCUAUCCAAGAUGUAAUCAAUAGUUAUUUUGUGUAUAUGUUGUUGUCUCAUCCAUUGCACCAUUUUCUGCUUUCAGGAUCCUCUUUUGCUUGUUAGGCAUCAUAAGUUUGAUGGGACUAAUUGGAUUUAGAAAUAAGUAUAGAAAAUGUUGUAAUAAUUAAUUGAUUAUUUGUUUAUUUGCAAGUAUGCCAUCAUUUGAGCCACCUAAUGCAUUUCAUCCUCUAUUAUAUUAUAUUUAAUUAGUUAUGACAACAUCUGUUGCAAAGUUUGCUCUAUUGACUCACCACAUGAACAUCUGUUACAAGUUACAGGUUACAGAGGACUGAGAAUUCUGCAACAGUACUUUGUCAUCUGACCUGAACAUAUAUUUUGCAGAAUUCCACUCAAUUAUAGUGGUUGCAUGAAAGACUAUAAAAUCUGAAAAAGAAAAUUAUAAAGAGAAAAAAAAAAAGGAAAGAAAGAAAGUAAUGCAGAAUGUAUGCAUGACAUUCUUGGAAUAAUGGCCUUCUAGUACUCCAACAAAUAAGAACUAAUAAGCUUGUUUCAAGAAACUUUCUGUUUCCAAACUCUCAUGCAUGGAAGUUGUGAUAGCAGGACAUUGGUUUCUUUUCUUGAUUUGUAUACAUAAGAUUGAAGGAUCUUUAAAGAAGAGAAAACAAAUUAAGUACAGAAAUGUUUUCUAUAGGACAAACGGAAUGUCAUGUCUCAUGUCUUCAAGAGGCCUCCUUAUUAAGAACUGAGAAUUUAUAAGUUUCAUCAAUUCUACCACACAUAAGUGUUACAGUAAAAAAAAGAAGAAGAAGAAGAAGAAGAAAUUAAUGGGUGGACAAAGGAAGGACUUGGAUCAAUCUAAUUUAACCAAUCUGUGAAAGAAUAAGGAUGAUAUGAAAAAGCAAUAUGUUCUUUUCUUUUCUUUUCUUUUUUCUGUUUUAAAUAAUCAGAAGUUGAUUUUGAAAAGGAAUAUUGUGGAUUUCUCUGCAUGACUGCAUAUCAUGUGUAAUUCUGAUGAUGAUAAUAUUCUUUCUCACGUAUGUUUUGAGAAUUUCAAUAAUACAUUACUCAAAGUAAUAUGCUAAAUACACCAACUCAGAUUUAGCUUU